ensembl:rRNA 5S_rRNA 5S ribosomal RNA
GCCAGCAGCUAGCUCUCUGCAACACUCACAUGUUCAUCCACUAAAGCCAAGCAGAGCUGUGCCCGGUAAGUACCUGGAUGGGAAACCACAUGGGAAAGCUAGGUUUCUGCUGAAA